UAAUAAGUGUUUUAUGGCACUUUUUAAAUCCAUAUCCACCAUUGUGUGCAAUGUCAGUCGAUCUUCUUCAUGGAGAUCGAGCCAACUAUCAACCUUUAUUUUUUAACUCUUUGUCUGAAAAAUAUUAUGAAUAAACAAUUCAAAAUA
rnacentral:misc_RNA from 1 species